rnacentral:rRNA from 1 species
AGCGAACGUUAGCGGCGGGCUUAACACAUGCAAGUCGCACGAGAAAAGGGCUUCGGCCCCGAGUAAAGUGGCGGACGGGUGAGUAACACGUGGAUAACCUGCCUUCUGGUGGGGGAUAACAGUCCGAAAGGAUUGCUAAUACCGCAUACGUCGGCGAGGCCGCAUGGUCUUGCCGGGAAAGCCGGCCUCUGCAUGCAAGCUGGCGCCAGAAGAGGGGUCCGCGGCCCAUCAGCUAGUUGGCGAGGUAAAGGCUCACCAAGGCGAAGACGGGUAGCUGGUCUGAGAGGAUAGUCAGCCACACUGGGACUGAGACACGGCCCAGACUCCUACGGGAGGCAGCAGUGGGGAAUAUUGGGCAAUGGGCGCAAGCCUGACCCAGCCACGCCGCGUGAGUGAUGAAGGCCUUCGGGUCGUAAAGCUCUGUGGGGAGGGACGAACCGCUGCGACCCAACACGUCGCAGCCUGACGGUACCUCCUUAGCAAGCACCGGCUAACUCCGUGCCAGCAGCCGCCGUAACAC